GACGAACGUUUGCGGCGUGCUUAACACAUGCAAGUCGAACGGAAAGGCCCUGCUUUUGUGGGGUGCUCGAGUGGCGAACGGGUGAGUAACACGUGAGUAACCUGCCCUUGACUUUGGGAUAACUUCAGGAAACUGGGGCUAAUACCGGAUAGGAGCUCCUGCUGCAUGGUGGGGGUUGGAAAGUUUCGGCGGUUGGGGAUGGACCCGCGGCUUAUCAGCUUGUUGGUGGGGUAGUGGCUUACCAAGGCUUUGACGGGUAGCCGGCCUGAGAGGGUGACCGGCCACAUUGGGACUGAGAUACGGCCCAGACUCCUACGGGAGGCAGCAGUGGGGAAUAUUGCACAAUGGGCGGAAGCCUGAUGCAGCAACGCCGCGUGCGGGAUGACGGCCUUCGGGCUGUAAACCGCUUUCGCCUGUGACGAAGCGUGAGUGACGGUAAUGGGUAAAGAAGCACCGGCUAACUACGUGCCAGCAGCCGCGGUGAUACGUAGGGUGCGAGCGUUGUCCGGAUUUAUUGGGCGUAAAGGGCUCGUAGGUGGUUGAUCGCGUCGGAAGUGUAAUCUUGGGGCUUAACCCUGAGCGUGCUUUCGAUACGGGUUGACUUGAGGGAGGUAGGGGAGAAAUGGAAUUCCUGGUGGAGCGGUGGAAUGCGCAGAUAUCAGGAGGAACACCAGUGGCGAAGGCGGUUCUCUGGGCCUUUCCUGACGCAGAGGAGCGAAAGCGUGGGGAGCGAACAGGCUUAGAUACCCUGGUAGUCCACGCUGUAAACGGGUGGGUACUAGGUGUGGGGGUCCAUUCCACGGGUUCCGUGCCGUAGCUAACGCUUUAAGUACCCCGCCUGGGGAGUACGGCCGCAAGGCUAAAACUCAAAGGAAUUGACGGGGCCCCGCACAAGCGGCGGAGCAUGCGGAUUAAUUCGAUGCAACGCGUAGAACCUUACCUGGGUUUGACAUGGAUCGGGAGUGCUCAGAGAUGGGUGUGCCUCUUUUGGGGUCGGUUCACAGGUGGUGCAUGGCUGUCGUCAGCUCGUGUCGUGAGAUGUUGGGUUAAGUCCCGCAACGAGCGCAACCCUUGUUCACUGUUGCCAGCACGUUAUGGUGGGGACUCAGUGGAGACCGCCGGGGUCAACUCGGAGGAAGGUGGGGAUGACGUCAAGUCAUCAUGCCCCUUAUGUCCAGGGCUUCACGCAUGCUACAAUGGCUGGUACAGAGAGUGGCGAGCCUGUGAGGGUGAGCGAAUCUCGGAAAGCCGGUCUCAGUUCGGAUUGGGGUCUGCAACUCGACCUCAUGAAGUCGGAGUCGCUAGUAAUCGCAGAUCAGCAACGCUGCGGUGAAUACGUUCCCGGG
rnacentral:rRNA from 1 species